rnacentral:rRNA from 1 species
ACGCUGGCGGCGUGCCUAAUACAUGCAAGUCGAACGAGAGCGACCGGUGCUAGCACUGGUCAAUCUAGUGGCGAACGGGUGAGUAACACGUGGGUAACCUGCCCAUCAGAGGGGGAUAACAUUCGGAAACGGAUGCUAAAACCGCAUAGGUCUUCGAACCGCAUGGUUUGAAGAGGAAAAGAGGCGCAAGCUUCUGCUGAUGGAUGGACCCGCGGUGCAUUAGCUAGUUGGUGAGGUAACGGCUCACCAAGGCCGUGAUGCAUAGCCGACCUGAGAGGGUGAUCGGCCACAUUGGGACUGAGACACGGCCCAAACUCCUACGGGAGGCAGCAGUAGGGAAUCUUCCGCAAUGGACGCAAGUCUGACGGAGCAACGCCGCGUGAGCGAAGAAGGUUUUCGGAUCGUAAAACUCUGUUGUUAGAGAAGAACAAGUGCUAGAGUAACUGUUAGCACCUUGACGGUAUCUAACCAGAAAGCCACGGCUAACUACGUGCCAGCAGCCGCGGUAAUACGUAGGUGGCAAGCGUUGUCCGGAUUUAUUGGGCGUAAAGCGAGCGCAGGCGGUUCCUUAAGUCUGAUGUGAAAGCCCCCGGCUCAACCGGGGAGGGUCAUUGGAAACUGGGGAACUUGAGUGCAGAAGAGGAGAGUGGAAUUCCAUGUGUAGCGGUGAAAUGCGUAGAUAUAUGGAGGAACACCAGUGGCGAAGGCGACUCUCUGGUCUGUAACUGACGCUGAGGCUCGAAAGCGUGGGUAGCAAACAGGAUUAGAUACCCUGGUAGUCCACGCCGUAAACGAUGAGUGCUAAGUGUUGGAGGGUUUCCGCCCUUCAGUGCUGCAGUUAACGCAUUAAGCACUCCGCCUGGGGAGUACGACCGCAAGGUUGAAACUCAAAGGAAUUGACGGGGACCCGCACAAGC